UAAAAAGCUUUUAAAAUCCCUUGUAAAUCAUUCUAUGUCACUUACUUAUGCUUUGAAAACGAUUGUAAAUCAUGUUUUACCCUCUU
rnacentral:sRNA from 1 species